rnacentral:rRNA from 1 species
CCUGGCGGCCUUAGCGCGGUGGUCCCACCUGACCCCAUGCCGAACUCAGAAGUGAAACGCCGUAGCGCCGAUGGUAGUGUG